CAAUAGCGUAUAUUAAAGUUGUUGCGGUUAAAAAGCUCGUAGUUGGAUUUCUGCUGAGGACGAUCGGUCCGCCCACUGGGUGAGUAUCUGGCUCGGCCUUGGCAUCUUCUUGGAGAACGUUGCUGCACUUGACUGUGUAGUGCGGUAUCCAGGACUUUUACUUUGAGGAAAUUAGAGUGUUUCAAGCAGGCAUACGCCUUGAAUACAUUAGCAUGGAAUAAUAAGAUAGGACCUCGGUUCUAUUUUGUUGGUUUCUAGAGCUGAGGUAAUGAUUAAUAGGGAUAGUUGGGGGCAUUCGUAUUUAACUGUCAGAGGUGAAAUUCUUGGAUUUGUUAAAGACGGACUAUUGCGAAAACAUUUGCCAAGGAUGUUUUCAUUGA
rnacentral:rRNA from 1 species